rnacentral:misc_RNA from 1 species
UACGUAGGGGGCGAGCGUUGUCCGGAAUUAUUGGGCGUAAAGGGCGCGCAGGCGGUCUCUUAAGUCUGAUGUGAAAGCCCACGGCUCAACCGUGGAGGGUCAUUGGAAACUGGGGGACUUGAGUCUAGGAGAGGGAAGUGGAAUUCCACGUGUAGCGGUGAAAUGCGUAGAGAUGUGGAGGAACACCAGUGGCGAAGGCGACUUCCUGGCCUAGGACUGACGCUGAGGCGCGAAAGCGUGGGGAGCGAACAGG